CAGUCGAACGGCAGCACGGACUUCGGUCUGGUGGCGAGUGGCGAACGGGUGAGUAACAUAUCGGAACGUAUCCAAUAAUGGGGGAUAACUAAUCGAAAGGUUGGCUAAUACCGCAUACGCCCUACGGGGGAAAGCUAGGGACCUUCGGGCCUGGCGUUAAUGGAGCGGCCGAUAUCUGAUUAGCUAGUUGGUGGGGUAAAGGCCCACCAAGGCGACGACCAGUAGCUGGUCUGAGAGGACGACCAGCCACACUGGAACUGAGACACGGUCCAGACUCCUACGGGAGGCAGCAGUGGGGAAUUUUGGACAAUGGGCGCAAGCCUGAUCCAGCCAUUCCGCGUGAGUGAAGAAGGCCUUCGGGUUGUAAAGCUCUUUCGCAAGGGAAGAAAACUUAGCCUCUAACAUAGGCUGAGGUUGACGGUACCUUGGUAAGAAGCACCGGCUAACUACGUGCCAGCAGCCGCGGUAAUACGUAGGGUGCGAGCGUUAAUCGGAAUUGCUGGGCGUAAAGCGUGCGCAGGCGGUUUUGAAAGUCAGAUGUGAAAUCCCCGAGCUCAACUUGGGAACUGCGUUUGAAACUCCAAAACUCGAAUAUGUCAGAGGGGGGUAGAAUUCCACGUGUAGCAGUGAAAUGCGUAGAGAUGUGGAGGAAUACCAAUGGCGAAGGCAGCCCCCUGGGAUAAUAUUGACGCUCAUGCACGAAAGCGUGGGGAGCAAACAGGAUUAGAUACCCUGGUAGUCCACGCCCUAAACGAUGUCUACUAGUUGUUGGUGGAGUAAAAUCCAUGAGUAACGCAGCUAACGCGUGAAGUAGACCGCCUGGGGAGUACGGUCGCAAGAUUAAAACUCAAAUGAAUUGACGG
rnacentral:rRNA from 1 species